rnacentral:rRNA from 1 species
UACGUAGGGGGCUAGCGUUGUCCGGAAUCAUUGGGCGUAAAGCGCGUGUAGGCGGUUCGGUAAGUCCGCUGUGAAAGUCGGGGGCUCAACCCUCGAAUGCCGGUGGAUACUGUCGGACUAGAGUACGGAAGAGGCGAGUGGAAUUCCUGGUGUAGCGGUGAAAUGCGCAGAUAUCAGGAGGAACACCGAUGGCGAAGGCAGGUCUCUGGGCCACUACUGACGCUGAGAAGCGAAAGCAUGGGGAGCGAACAGG